rnacentral:rRNA from 1 species
UUUUCGAAUAUCUCCGGUAGGUAUAAAACCUAUUCUACUACUCGCAAUAACCUUCAUGCAAUUUUAACAGUAACAUAAAAAAAUUAAGCCAAAAUCAAACAUUUA